CUCACCAGGGAGGGGGAGAAAGGGGAGAAAAAGAAAAAAAACAGAAAACGAGAGGACGAACCAAGCCCGCCGUCCCACCUGCCCUGCUGCGGCACCCUCUCUUGCUCGGUCGGCCCGGGAGGGGACCGGCGGGGAGCUGGAGCCGAGCCCCCGGGCGCUUACCUCGGUCAGUGCCCUGGACACUGCGCGCUCCGCGUCCUCCGAGCUCCGGGCGGCUGUUCCUGGCCCCGGCAGCCGCCGCGCUGCCUGCAUCGCUGCCGCCGCCUCAGGGCAGCCCCGGGGGUGCUCCAUGCUGAGGGGCGCGUCGGUCUGGGCCGCCGAUCGCCCCGGUCCAGCCGCGGGUCGGGGGCGCGCGCCUGGACGGCGCCCCCGGUCGCGGGGCGCACGCUCGGGUCGGCGCGGUUGGCUUCCGUCCCUCAGUCCGGCGGCUCGUGCGGCCGAUCCAACCCCUCCCCCGCCUGCUGCUAUCUGAUCCCAGGCUGGGCCCGGCCGCGCUCCCCUACGCCCAGGCGCCCCGCGCCUCCACGCCCGCUCCGGCCGCUCGCCCUCAGCUACGGUUCCCCGGGAGGCGGUGGCAGAGGCAAGGCCCGGAGAAGGCGGGGAGAGUGGAAUGGAGGGCGAGGAGGCGGCAGGAGACUGAGGCUCGGCGCGCUCCCAGCUCCGCGCCCGGCUGUCACCAGAACCCAGCUCGGCAACAACUCUAACUCUCAGCCAAGAGCACUCCCGCUCUGCGCCGCUCCGCCGCCGCCCCCGCCCACCAGACCCAGGCCUGACCGGGCGUCCCUGGCCCCGGCCCCCCUCCACACACAGACACACCACCAGCCACUUGCGCACUGGAGCGCGCGCGCGAGCGUGCACACGCGCGCGCACACACACACACACACACACACAGGCGGAGGCAUGUCCUCCCAGGGACCCACACAGGUGCAUGGCGAAGGCACACACAGCCAAGCACACGAGCUCAGGCGUCUGGAUCCACACAUGCAGAAUGCAUGCUGUGACAUACAUGACGGUUGCAGGUGUACAGGUACGAUAAACACUCAUACUUCCACGUGCAGGCUGGUGGCUGCGGGAGGGCACCUGUGCACAGAUCUCAACUUGCACAUUCCCAUGGACUCCUUUCCCGUUGCACACAGGCGUGCACACUCGGACACACAUAUUUCUCCCUCUUUAAUAGAAUUUGUCUCCUCAUCGUGCGCUCUGCUUGACUCUUCCGUCUCCUGCUUUCUUUCUGUGCUCCUCCCCCUGCCCUCUUUCUCCGAGGACCUGACCCCCAUGUGA
rnacentral:lncRNA from 1 species